rnacentral:tRNA from 1 species
AUUAGCUCAGUUGGUUAGAGCGUCGGAUUGUGGUUCCGAAGGUCGAGGGUUCGAGACCCUCAUU